rnacentral:lncRNA from 1 species
CUCAAAGCCUCAAAGAAAGGAUCAGCUGUAAUUAUAAUUUCUAAUGUGAUUGUUUAAACUGCUCUUAAAGCCCUCCAGUGGUGGAGACUCCCGAACCAUCUGGAGCCAUCCUUUCCAACCUAGAGCAGCCCUGACAUUUGGAUGGAAAACUCAUUCUAAUGGCUAAUUUCAGUAUUUUAUUUGGUAUUCUAAGCUUGUUAAUAUUACUACUGCUGAGCUGUCCAGUGUGAAUGUGGAAAAAAGAUUAUUCCUCUUUGCAGUAAAUUUACAUGUACUUAAAAACAACACAUUUAAUUAUCUACCUUCCCUUCGUUAGAGAAACUCUAUUCUCAUGCUUUUCAUUGCAUUCUUUGUAAUUGGGCCAUAUUUAUUGAAGGACAGUAUCCAAAACAGGGCAGAAAGUCACAUGUAAAUACCCGUCAUGUUUCUGUAGUAUCACAGCAUGAGACAGCAGACCUGUGUUUUUCUAUCUUCCUGGAGAGCUCCUGUGCAGUCAGCUGGGUCAGGAGCACUGCCUUUCAUGUAGCGCUUGAGGUGCUUUGCACAGGACUGUGCUGGAAGGGCUAAGCUCAGCUGUACUCAGUGCCACAUAAUGCUGGUCCUGUGGGAAAAAGGCUGCAUGGAAAGGAAAAUCUAGUUCCAGUGGUUGAAUAAAGCUCAGGCUGUUGCAAAUGAGAGUGUUUAAAUAUAGUGCAUUUGAGAGCAAAGCUUCUUGAGUUAUCAUACUCCCAACACGUUUUCUCUUUCCAUUUUAAUUAACAGGUUCUGUCUGCACUAUGCUAUUUUAUGAAUGAGACCUAACUCUCUGCACAGGCAGUUAUUUCCUUUGCACUGUGUGCAGACUUUACCAGGCUAGGACAGCGCUUCACACAUGUGAAUACCAGUGUAAGGUUAAAAGUAAAGGAUGAUCAAACUCAGUUUUGCCUAAAGCAUUCCUUCUUUGUGUAGUUUUAAGCCACAUUUG